rnacentral:rRNA from 1 species
CUAACUCUGUGCCAGCAGCCGCGGUAAGACAGAGGUGGCAAGCGUUGUUCGGAAUUACUGGGCGUAAAGAGUCUGUAGGUGGUUUGUCAAGUCUUUUGGUGAAAGGCCGUAGCUUAACUAUGGGAAUGCCAAAGAGACUGGCAGGCUGGAGGCUGGGAGAGGGAAGCGGAAUUUCUGGUGUAGCGGUGAAAUGCGUAGAUAUCAGAAGGAAGGCCGGUGGCGAAGGCGGCUUCCUGGAACAGUCCUGACACUGAGAGACGAAAGCGUGGGGAGCAAACAGGAUUAGAUACCCUGGUAGUCCACGCCCUAAACGAUGG